AUAUUGCUCUCAGUGUGUGCAGACAGGACAGAAUAAGCAACUGAACUGAACUGGUGGAGAUGCUUGAGUUGAUGAACUGAAGGGUCUCUAGAUGCCUAUUUAUACACGAGAGUGGCACUCGACAGUUGCGUUGAUUCCAUUGCAUUUGCAUGCAUGAACCUGUAUAUGUUCAUCACACUGUUAGUAGUUGGCUAUCAAUUAAUGGCUUCGAUUCGUCCAGCUAGCCAGGCAUGACGGUGAUCUGCUCGCACUCUCGACCAAGCUUCCACUGCUUCUUUCUGUACGGAAUGGAAUACUCUCCGGUCCCGAAGAUUUAAUUGUGAUCGGCGCUUGCCAACUACUCGGUGUACUUAAACUAUGCAUCGAGCUGGAUUUGAUGCUCUGACUCCAGAAUAGAAUUUGGGAAAUCCAAUUGAAACAUGGUGGGGUAUGUUUUCUUGCUUCUACUGGAAUCUGGAGGCCCUGGAUGAUCCCAACCCAUUUUACUCUUGCAUUUUUUUUGUGUUACUGAAGCUGUGUUUUGGUCCAACUGGAAGGUGGUGAUUCGGUCUGCUUUUGCUACAAGUCUAACACCUGUAAACGUCGUGCAUUUCAUCUUUAGAUAAAUGUGAACAAGGAAUUUUGCUUAUUACCACAGAUUUGUGUUGCAUAUUUUUUUUGACA